ACUCCUACGGGAGGCAGCAGUGGGGAAUUUUGGACAAUGGGGGCAACCCUGAUCCAGUAAUGCCGCGUGGGUGAAGAAGGCCUUCGGGUUGUAAAGCUCUUUUGUCAGGGAAGAAACGGUGGUGGCGAAUAACUACUACUAAUGACGGUACCUGAAGAAUAAGCACCGGCUAACUACGUGCCAGCAGCCGCGGUAAUACGUAGGGUGCAAGCGUUAAUCGGAAUUACUGGGCGUAAAGCGUGCGCAGGCGGUUGUGUAAGUCAGAUGUGAAAUCCCCGGGCUCAACCUGGGAAUUGCAUUUGAGACUGCACGGCUAGAGUGUGUCAGAGGGGGGUAGAAUUCCACGUGUAGCAGUGAAAUGCGUAGAUAUGUGGAGGAAUACCGAUGGCGAAGGCAGCCCCCUGGGAUAACACUGACGCUCAUGCACGAAAGCGUGGGGAGCAAACAGGAUUAGAAACCCCGGUAGUCCC
rnacentral:rRNA from 1 species